CCGUGCUCCUUUUUGAAGUGGCAGCACACACGAGCAGAUGCGUGCUCUCCUCGCUGCGUACAGGCGGCGCCGCCGCGGGCGCUCCUCGAUCUAUACGGGCGGCGCCGCCGCCACCUGCGGCUGGUCUUCUUCUCCAGCCAUCUGCCGCCCUUCUCUCCUCCCAAUUCGCUGCCCUCCUCUACACUCCCGCCCCUAAUCUUCUCUGGCCCUACCCCAGCCUCCUUGAUCUCCAGCCUCCUGCUGCCGUGCCUCGAUCCAUACGGGCGUCGCCGCCGCCGCCGGCUGGUCUUCUUCUCCGGACAUCCGCCGCCCUCCUCCCCUCCCCCUCCCCCCUAAUCUUCUUCUUCUUCUCCGGCCAUCCGUCGCCCUCCUCAAAUCCCGCGGAGUUCGCCGGAGGAAGAACAUCCGCCGUCCGAACGUGCUACACCAGGGCGAAGCACCGGAAAGAGGACGUUUCUAUGCAGCAUAACCCAAAAGUUUAAUUUGAGGUAUUCCAUCAAGCGUAUGCUCCAUAGCCUCCAUCAUGUAGUAUAUUUCCUUUGUUUCAGGUUGUACAGAGGAUUUCCCUUGUUUCAGGUUGUACAGAGGAGCUCAACGACAACUGAGGCUAGUUUAAUCAAUUCAUUGGCGUACUUUAGGAAACAAGGAUAUAUUGGGUGGUCUCCGACCGCCCGUCGACAAUACAGAGUCGUCGUAGUUGGGUUGUGUUCAUGUAACACUGAAACUUGACAUAGUUAAUAUAAGAAGGUUUGAUUUACUUCCACUAUGUUACUGUUCAGUCUAUUUUAUAAACAUGUUGAUUAGCCAUUCUGGCAAAGAGGCAUCUUCAAUAUUUCAGAAAUCUCUUUUCCAGAAACUCCAAUUCUGCUCAUAGGAAUUGAGAUGCCCAAUAUUUCUCAAUUUGCUGACAAGGCUGUAAUAUAUGUAUGCUUUACACAUGUCGAUCCAUUGGAAGAGUAUUUUCAAGGAUUCUGCUGCUUACUAAUUGUUUACAUCCAUUGCACAAACUAAGUGGUAGGGGGACUGUUCCCUCUCAUUAGAGCUAAAACAUAUCUUCGUAUUUUUAUAAGGUAUUUCUCCCCAAAAUUUUACCCAAACCUUUCCCAUGAAGUAAUAUAUUUCAAUAUGUUUUUAAACUUCUAAUUAGGUACAAUACAUUAUUGUUGUGGUGUUGAUCAUAUUAACCACGAAACAAGGUUUUUAUUUGUUUGAGUUUUUAUCCUGUAAUAAUAUAAUCUCAAAAUUAAUAAAGUCGCCAUGAUGGCUUUUCCUCACAAAAAAAAUCCUCACAAUCGAGUACUAGCAUCGGGGUGUGGCUCAUCGGGGUUCAGCAGAUGAACUGAUGAACACAGCAGGAAAGGAGGCUGAGGAGGGAUAGACUCUUUUUAUUGGCCGGGUUGUGGUGAGAACAUAAGAGAGAGCAUCGGGGUGUGGCUCAUUGCUUCAUAUGCUGCUACCGAUAUAUGUAUGUUGUUGUUUGCUUCAUAUGCUGCUACUAAUAUAUGUAUGCUGCUGAUUGGUCCUGAUAUACACUGCCUAUUGCUGCUAAUAGUAAUAUUGCUACUCAAUUUGAUAGGUAGAGUGGUAAUAGACGGCGAGAUUGGAUAGUGCUCAUAUGACAGUCGGACCAUUGUCCUUUCUGUGAUGAGUUAGAGAAUAUUGCUCUCAUGUGUUAAUCAGCUGAUCCUCCUUAGCCUUCCCGUGGUCUGAACUUCAAAGUUUUCAUCCACUCAAUGCUGAUUCAGUCAAAGAUCUGUGAGAAGAAACUUAUUUCAACAAGAUUCACUCUACUUUGCUUAUCGCGGUCCUCUGGAAUAUAUGGAAGCGCAGGAACUCCAAGUUCUUCCGGGAUGUUUUUGAGGAAUUGCACAUUACUGCUAGCAAGAUUGCUGAUGAUCUUAUGUUGUGGUCCAACAGUUUUAUGAAGUGGUUCAGGCCGGUGUAAGCACGCUAUUGUCCCUGAAAAAAAUCCGGCGAGUGAUGCCUCACCCUCUCUGAACUGAAUAUUAUGUGCUUUUGUACUACUCGAAGAAGCCAAACACAGUGAAGCAUCUCUGUUGGCUAGCAUCCCUGAUGGGAAAUUUGUUGUCUUGCUGAUGGAGAGAUGGAGUUGGAGUGGCGGCUCAAAACUCUAAUCUUGUUGUCUUGUUCGGUGAAGUGAUUGCAACAUUGUUUUGUUUUGUUCUAUGCAUGCUUCCAUGCCGGUUGAAGUGAUUCUGCCAGUCAAUUGUAUGAACUUAAGUUACCUGUGUCAUAUGAGACUGCUGCUACUAGGAACUCUUAGGUUAUCAUUUAUUUUUAUGGGUAUACUCAUGGCCUGAUGCAUUAUAUGGCUAUUAUUUGUGUCAACUUUAGUGUUACUAUAACUUUUAUUUUUGUUGUAACUGUAGAAAAAUAGAUGGCAGAACUGAACAUUGCAGAGGAUUUUGAUAACCGACCUUAAAAAAAAGCAAAAAUUUCUGAAUCAGGUGUUUUGGAGCCAUCACCUACGUCACCAACUAUGAAACAUUAUCUCCAGUUUCUGAAUGUUUUGGAUAAAUCGUGCCGGGAUCAGAUAAUCAAAUAGAUCGUGAUCCAUUGCCAUCAACUCCGUCCGCAACUAUCUCGACAUUACCUCUGAUUUUUGAAUUGAUGCAUGAAAGAAAAGUUUCAUUACAUGAUGAUAAGGAACAAGAUGUGAACAUAAACAAAUCAAAGUUGAUGAGACAUAUGAUUAUCUCCCACAAGGCACUUUGGUGUCUCAGCAACCAGGUCGCCACCGACCACCACGAUGGCUCACCGCGAUGCCCUCCCGCCACCCUAUAUACGACACCAGUGGCGAGAUGGGCGGGAUCUUUUUGGCGUGCCGGCACACAGGAACGACACACACCAUACAACCUGAAGGAUACGUUCAUCAGGCUUGACAUGACCCUCACCGAUGCCGCAUUGCCGCUUCUGUUGCUGGAGAUCAGCCAAAGAGUUAGCUUGUUGCCGCUUUGCUUCAAUGGUUGCUUCAAUGCUCUUCGACUCUCCGUAAUGAGCAGCUGAUGGUGCUUGGACGAAACAAUUGAUCGGGAAAUGGGUAGUGUUGUGCUGGUGGUCAUGUAUCAGCCCACUAUCUAUAAAACACCUAAGAUGAUUCUUCAGGACCCGAUAUAUUCCAAUUACUCAUUUGGGUCUUCUUACUGUGAUACAUGGUUUUACUUAGUAAUCUUAAGAUCAAUUUGUUCGUUUAUAA